AAAGGCUAUGUAUUCUGAGCUCAUCUGGAUCAGAGGAGUCAGCACUGUCAUUUGUGUUUGGCAGAGACUGAAAGGCAGAUGUUCGUCUGAAGAUUUCAAAGCCCACUGCUGAUUUAAGGUCAUUCACAUUCAGCCAUGAAGCUGCUCUGAAGACACAGGAACUGCAUAGCUCCCUACUGGGAAUGUCAAGGGCUGUGAAAGGUCUAAGGUUUUAUCCUACUUGCAACCAACAAGCUAUGCAGCCACAGUUUUAUGGAUGCUGUCAAAAGACAUGACACUCCUGGGUAAGAGACGAAAGACUUUACCACUUGUGGUGUAGUAGCCAGCUGGAGCAUCUUGUGUUUUGAGUUAGUGCCAGUUGUCCCCUAAGUCCCACAGCAUGCAGUUUAGGCUGCUAACAACAGCAUGAGGGCAACCUGCUGUGGUGACCUAAGCUAUGACACCCCACCCCAAGUCCGGGAUGCAGCUAACUGAGCAAACUGCAUGAACUGGGAGGCGGCCGACCAUUGUUCACGCCUCUCCUUCGCGUAUGUGUUUUCUACUGUUCUUGCACUGUAAAGGCAGAGGUUGCAUCGGGCCCUUAUGCAAAGCCCCAAAUAAUUACUGGCUGACUCUUCUCAGGGAACAUUUGCUAACCCUGUCACAAGCCAUAAGGUUCCACCACAGAUUGCCCUGUGGCUCUCUCGUUACGUUUCUGUGUGGACGUUUCCACAUGGUCUGAGGCAUUCAUCCAAGAAGAGCAGGAUGUAUUAGUGACUGCACAGAUUCUGCCUUGGCCCACAAAGAGGACAUCCAGGGCAGUCCUGGUCAUCUGUAAUAACAUUGCCCAGUGAGUUGAGGCUGACCUGAGUACUGACUUGGGUUGAGUUGGUGUCACUGAUCACUUCAGCCAAAGAUGGGACAUUUCUUAGCACCUGUUCUGAUUGGCUGACUUCUAUGGUCAGGAUAACGGCUCUCAGGAUGCGUAUAACUGCCAAGUCUCUCCGGGAAGCUUCCCUGGGUUACCAAGGAAUCCUCAUGUCUGAGAGAGCUCCACCAUCAUCCAAGGGCCACACGGAGUUUCUUGCAAUGCUUCAAGGUCUCCUGUAAUAACUCCUAUGAUAGAAGUCACUGUGUUUUGGGGAGGUAGACUGCAGCAUGCAGUUUUGACAGCAUGACCAAGGUCAUUGUUCAGGUCUGAUUAUUCAAAUUCAAAAAACUGCAACCUCAGGCAUAAAAGAUUAAGGAUGGAGCCCAAGUCUCUGGGUCCCCAAGGGGGACUGAAGCACAUACUCACCCAUCUGAAUAUGCUGGAGAACAGGAAGGAGAGACUCAAGCUUGUCUGGGUCUGUUGGAUACAGACUCUCCCAUCUCCACCCCAUCAGGUCCUAUGGAGGCCCAAGUUCAGCUGAUGAAGUUAAGGGAGUGCUCAGUGCAGAAGGGUGGGAGGGCACUUGGGGCAUUUUGGGGUCCUGUUUUUGUUGCUUCUGCAUCUGAUACAGCAGGAAUUGAAGUAUUGCACACUUGUCCUUCCCAUUUCCAAGUGCUGCCUUCCCAUCAGUAAGAGCCACAGUUAGAGAGGGACCAACAGGAGGAUAACUCCCACAUGCUUAGCAUUCCAAUAAUGGAACACUAGGCAUAAAUUGAUAAGAUGCUUUCAAUGCAAUCAGUACUCUGCCAGGAUUCACUAAGUAGAGAAUGACUAAAUAUUUACCCAUCUCCUAACAAAAAUGCACAACUGAGGACAGAUGUUUUGCACUUUUAUGUGUCUACGGACUGUGUAAGAGGAUUUGGCUGGGUCAUCAUCUUCUUCUUCUUCUUAGACUGGUUGAUGGUGACCGUUCAUUGAUCCAAUAUGGUAAAGUCAUGUCCUGGUCUGUGUUCUUCGGGGUCCACAACCCUCUUUAACAGCCUGUUGUAAGGUUCUCGACCACGUCACUGUCUAGCUAAACCAUUCUGCAUUUCAGUAGGUAAACCAGCAGGAGGGCUUAAAAACCACAUUGCCCUGUCCACAUCCCUAUUUCUGAUUCUUUUCUGGCCUGCGAUCCUACAUCUCUAUCCUCACUUUAAACUGUUUUCCUCUUUUCUUCUCCUUUUUCCUGACCUCCUUUAUGUUUUUCAUUUCUCCUCCAUCUGAAUAUACCAAACCAUCCUUUUGCUUCCUCUUUUCUCUUCAUUAAUUAUUCUAGGGGCUAUUUUUUUUAUUAGGAAGAUGUAUUAUUUUAACAUGCUUUAUAAAGUUAGUGGCAUUAAGGAAUUAAUGUCCUUGGAAACUCAUACAUGUUCAGCUUCUAGAAACCCCUGAUUCCAAGGAGCAAAAACAUGCCAUCUCUGACAGUGUCCACAAGAACAAUACCAGAUCAGACGAUAAAGCCAACACACAGCAUAGCCAAUGGCCACACAUCCAGAAAACACUCUCAACAAAUUUAACCCUUCAGUAUUCACUGUAGCCAAUAUAUAUUCAAUAUAUAUAGCUGACUUUGUUUUUAUAUUUGAUGAAGUCCUGCUAUUUGAAAUAAAAUAAUCAAACCAACAACAACAACAACAAAAACCCCAUACAUGGUGAUAGCAUAUGUGAGGCAGUAGCAAUUUCUCCAUCUUUUCUGUCCUGUCUUUCCUGUUCUUCGUUCCCAUGCUAAGAAGGGAUGGAUAUAUCUCGGAGAUUACACAGGUUCUAGUCAAAGACUUCAUUGUGAACGUUUGUUUCACAUUUUCCCUGGAUAAGGACUAAUUAAAAGUUUGGAAAAGUAUACCUUUUUUUUUUUUUUUUUUUGCAAACUUACCCAUAUUAUGUGCUUUUUCUUGAUACAGCUGCUAAUCUUUGCUGUAUAUGUAGUGUUAGGAAGUCUACUUUAAUACACACACACACGUUUAAUGAGGUAAAAUAUGCAUAACAUAAUUACCAUUUUAACAAUUUUUAAGUGUAGAGUUCAGGGGCAAGUACGUUCAUGUUCUUGUGCAACUAUCACCACCAUUUUUUCUCCAGAACCCUUUUUAUCAUCUCAAACUGAAACUCUGCACCCACUGAACAAUAACUCCCCGUUCUCUCCUCCUCCUAGACCCUGGUAACCCCUCAUCUAUUUUCUGUCUCUGUGUAUUUGACUAUUCUAGGUACCACAUUAACGUGGACUUACACAGUAUUCGUCCUUUUGUGACUGGCUUAGUUUAUUUAGCAUAAGAUCCCCAAGGUUCAGCCGGGUGCCGUGGCUCAUGCCUGAAAUCCAAGCACUUUGGGAGGCCAAGGUGGGUGGAUCACCUGAGGUCAGGAGAUUGAGACCAGCCUGGCCAACACGGUGAAACCUCAUCUCUACUAAAAUACAAAAAUUAGCUGGGCCUGGUGGCGGGCGCCUGUAAUCCUAGCUACUAGGUAGGCUGAGGCAGGAGAUUAGCUUGAACCUGGGAGGCGGAGGUUGCAGUGAGCAGAGAUGGGACCACUCCACUCCAGCUUGGGCAACAGAGCAAGACCCUGUCUCAAAAAAAAAAAAUUCAAGGUUCAUCCAUGCUGUGGCAUGUGUCAUAAUUUCAUUUCUUCAUAUUCCUGAAAUACAUUUCUAAAUAUAAAUUUUUCAUUACUGUUUUCAUUUCAAGUUAAGUUUAUCAGAUCCUGUAGUCCAGGGACUUCAGUCUCUUUGAAUUAUGUCUUUCUUGGACAAUUUGGGAGCUCUUUUGAGAAACUGAAUACAAUUUGAAUACACUAAAAUCUGAAUCACACCAUAGAUAACGACAUAGUGUCUUAGUGAGAAGAAAUUUGAUUCUGCUGACUAGGAUACUAAAGUUUGACCUUUAUGGUCAUCUCUUAAUAAAAUAAAAGGAGAGCACUGGGCUAUUAAAUAGUUUAUUCAUGGAUCAUAGGGUGAAUAAGACCUAGAUCCUAGAGGAAAUCCUCCCCACAAAGACACUCAGACUUUUAUUCCUGUCAAUGUUCUUGUGGAUUUCAGGGAGCAAUGAUGGCUAUAAAUCUGCAACUCAUAGCAUUUCAGGCUAAACACAUUCAGCCUUUAUUACCAUUGUUCAUUUGACCUCUUUAUCCAAUUUUUUUCCCACCCACUUGCCAAUAUCACCUUGUUCUUAUGUAGGCUGUGUUUCAGCCAGCUUAAGCCUUACUAACAAAUGAGGUGAAAUCCAUCUGAGGAGGAAGCCGGGGCAUGGUGGAUUGAAAUAGCUUGCCUCAGGAGCAGAAAAUUUGGUGUGGAUCAAGAAAUAGAACUCCAAAGUAUACCUUUCCAGUCAUUGGCUUUAGCUGGAGCCAGCAUCCUUCAAUGAAUCAGUCAACAUUUACCUAUCUGUUCCCCACAGCAGUUUUGCAAAUCGCUUUCAGAAAUCAUUGAACCACUAACAGUUUAUCCACUCUGCAAAAUAUACACAGCUCUUCCCAUAUCCAGGAGGGUUAUCCCUUCUCAGCUGCGUUCAACACUUUUUACAACCCCUGAUUUCAAUAAGCAGAAUACAUCCACCUGCUUAGGGAAAUUACUCUUACCAUAUAAUUGCCUCUUAUGUUGAAAUGUCCAUGAGACCCUCUCAUGAAAUAGGGGACAAGAUAAAGCACAGAUUUUCCCCCAACUCAAACAUGCCUGUCUCAUACAUGUCAUGCCCUUGGAAAUGGCCAACACUGCUCUCUGCCUCCUGUUUAGGGUUAAGGCUUUCACUAUCUCUUGCCACCUCUGAUGAAAUUACUAACAAAUAUAUUAUCCUUACCCUUUGUCUUCUAUUCCAGCACUUCAAAUGCAUCAAAGGUCCAGAGAGAAGCUUCUUCUGGUCACCUUGAUCUUGUGAUGCAAGGCAGGUGGGAGCAAGGGCUCCACCUCUGCAGACACAGAGAUGACGGGGUCGCCAUGCCGGCGUUUUAGUCCCGGUUUCCUCUGCUCGAGUAGUUGGUGGCCUCCUGCCUGUUCCCUAACAUAACUUCACUUUCCUUACCUGCAAAACGAAAUUAGUAUUUCCUCCCUCACAAGGUUAUUUGCAACUUACCUGGCUAAGCUGAACUCCAGAAUUUGGACUAGAGGCUUCAGGAUGCUGGUGCAGUUCAAGUCUGGUCCACAUGUCUCCUCCUCCUUCGAGGGUCAUUGACUACUUUGUGUAUCUUCUUUUCAUGACAGUUCAUAUGAGUGCAAGAUGGCUCGAUAGACUUGCACACAAGUUUAAAGAUUUUUGUAUACACCUCAUUCCAUUGUUAAAGCAAGUUGCAUGGUCAAAUCUAACAUCUCUGGACAAGGACAUGCAUUCAUACCACUCUACUGCACUGCAAGCUCACGCAGAGGAGCAGAUCAUAAAACGUGAUUGAUGCAUGAUGAUGAUAAUGACCAACCUACCAUCAUGGACAUGACCGUAUGUUGAUACUAAGCCUCUUAGUAAAAUGAGCUAAAGAAACCAGAACUAUCUGCCUUCAGCUCAGCUGUCUGAUCAAAAACUUGAAAUCUGGAAACAGUGGUAUCUGGAAAACCUACUAAAAGUGGCUUUGGGAAAAUAUCAAUUAAUGUCAAUUUCAUUAAUUAUUCAGGGAAAUCCAAUCCAAAAUAUCAGAGAUGCUUACGUAGAAUUUGGAAAACUUUAAUUUUCACCAAAUACUCAUGUGCUUUGGGCUUACAGCAUAUGAAUUUUGGCAGAAGAGAAGUGAACCAGAAUAGAAGGAGGAGGGGAUAUUUAAUAAGAGAUUACAAAAAUGCUUUCUCUGGGUAAGAGAUGUGGUCUUCAUUUAAUGUUCAACUUAAAAAAAUAAAAAUUAUACCAUGGAAAAUGUGUGAUUUACAAGAUAUGUUAACAAGUAAUAAAACCUAAUAAGUGGAUUUGUAUUUUUUUAAGAGCAUAAAAAUAUCAGUUUGGCUAUUCAAAUGCAUUAGGCUGUUAUUUAGGUCCUCUUUUUCUUUAUGUGCCCAGUACUUUCAUCUUUAGACCUUACUAAUGCUAGAUGUCUUCUUGUCUUACUUGAUAGUUUUAUAUUAUAUUUUAUUCAGCCUAGUGAUGGGAAGAAUACGUUUACAAUAUGUUUACAUUGCACAUUAGUUUCUUGUCAUAUUUCCAGAGAUUGGAUAAUAACUGAUAACAAGAGACAGGGAGGUUUUCAGGAUUUUAAGUCCUUUUUUCUAGGACUUGCUUCUUUUUGAUAAAGCAGUCUCUACACUGGGUCUUUAUAUAGAGUACUUUUCUCUCUGUCCAUAAAUAGACUUGGUUAUAGGAGAAAUGGCGGAACAGUUUGAGAGUAUGGAGUUUCAAAGCAGAGCUCAUUAUUGAUGUUAAUAAUUUAUUAAUUUAUUAAACGUGGCAUGUGGAGUGCUGUUCUAAAUGCUUUCAUGCAUCGAUGCAUGAGGGUGCUGUGUGCAGUGAUGCCGGGUCACAUUGCCAGGAUCAUCCUCAAGGACUGAAUGACCCAUUUGCAGGAGUGUCAGGACAGUGGAUGCUGACUGAUCACAGCAAAGUCUGUCUCCAGGAAUAACCCCUGGCCGAGCAAGCAGCCUCACUCCCACUGGAGGCAUCCUUGAAGGGUCACGGGCCAGCACAGUUCCAGAAGUCCCCCUACAUUAGUAUUUAUAUUGUGUGAUUAAUUCAGCUACUUAUGUUGCAUUUAUAUUUAUGUUUUUUGAUUAUUGCUGUGUCUAUGUGUUUAUGUUUUUUGACUAUAAUAUUUAUGCUGUUUGUUUAAUUCUGUAUCAAUUAAAAAAAGGAAUGAAUUAAUGGCAUUCGCAGCAACCUGGAUGAGAUUGGAGGCUAUUAUAAAUGAAGUAACUCAUGAAAAGAAAACCAAACAUCAUAUAUUCUCACUCAUAAGUGGGAGCUAAGCUAUGAGAUGCAAAGGCAUAUGACUGACACAAUGGGCUUUGAGGACUCAAGGGAAAAGAGUAGGAAGGGAGUGAGGGAUAAAAUACUACAAAUUGUGUGCAGUGUAUACUGCUCAGGUGAUGGGUGCACCAAAAUCUCACAAACCACCACUAAAGAACUUGCUCAUGUAACCAAACACCAGCUGUUUCCCAAUAACCUAUGGAAAUAAAAAAAUUAAAAGAUUUAAUGAAAAAUAAGUCUAGAAGAAGUUCUUAACCCUUAGAGUCUUGUGGUCACAGACAUUUAGAUCCAUAUUUUUAUAUCAGCAAAAUAAUAUGGUGAUGAGCAAAGCACUUUGAAGCAUAGAAACAUUUACAUUAACAUAAAAUUAUAUGGAAGAAAUGGAAUAAUGUUUAUAUUCAAG
rnacentral:lncRNA from 1 species